UACGUAGGGCGCGAGCGUUAUCCGGAAUUAUUGGGCGUAAAGAGCUCGUAGGCGGUUUGUCGCGUCUGCCGUGAAAGUCCGGGGCUUAACCCCGGAUCUGCGGUGGGUACGGGCAGACUGGAGUGCAGUAGGGGAGACUGGAAUUCCUGGUGUAGCGGUGAAAUGCGCAGAUAUCAGGAGGAACACCGAUGGCGAAGGCAGGUCUCUGGGCUGUUACUGACGCUGAGGAGCGAAAGCAUGGGGAGCGAACAGGAUUAGAAACCCCAGUAGUCC
rnacentral:rRNA from 1 species